UACGAAGGGGGCUAGCGUUUGUUCGGAAUUACUGGGCGUAAAGCGCGUGUAGGCGGGUCCUUAAGUCAGGGGUGAAAUGCCGAGGCUCGAACCUCCGGAACUGCCUUUGAUACUGGGGAUCUUGAGUCCGGGAGAGGUGAGUGGAACUGCGAGUGUAGAGGUGAAAUUCGUAGAUAUUUCGCAAGAACACCAGUGGCGAAGGCGGCUCACUGGCCCGAUACUGACGCUGAGGUGCGAAAGCGUGGGGAGCAAACAGGG
rnacentral:rRNA from 1 species